rnacentral:rRNA from 1 species
GAAAAGAAACUAACUAGGAUUCCCUCAGUAGCGGCGAGCGAAGCGGGAAAAGCUCAAGAUGUUGAAUCCGUAAAUGUCAUUUACGGAAAUGUAGUCUGGAGGGGCGCGAACGGGAUAAACCUAAAACGUAAGUUUCCUGGAAUGGAACACCAGAGAGGGUGACAGUCCCGUAUGUAGUGAUAAAGGAGAAAUUCUUUUUACGCGCCCUGGUCGAGUCGGGUUGCUUGGGAGUGCAGCCUAAAUUGGGUGGUAUACUUCAUCCA